CGGCUCUGGGAAGCCUGCCUCCUCCGAUGGCAAAUUUCAUAAAUAUCGGUUCCCUCAGCGCCCGGUCCUGGCGCUAAGGAGAGUGCUCCUUUAAGCCAGAACAAGUUGGUCACCAGCCACCACUAACCGUAAAGCACAUGAACUGCCUUCCUGCACUAGCAGCCCUCACCUCCAGCCCGCUGGCUGAAAUGACUGGUUUCCUCAGACAGAGAGCAGCAUCUGCAGAUCACAGCUUCAGCCUCCAGAGGUCAGCUUUAUAGCCUUCAAGUUGUUCUGAAGCCCUGCCUGAUUAGACGUACUCUGGAGUGACUUUCAUUCUGAUCAAAUGUGAUGUGCUGGCAAUGCGCAUACAAAGCUGGCAGAGCAGCCGUGCAGCAAAGCCUGAAGCAGGCAGGAGUUGGUGCAACAUCUAAUUUGAAACAAGGCAUGGCUCCCCAGAAAGGAAACAAG